UACAGAGGGUGCGAGCGUUAAUCGGAAUUACUGGGCGUAAAGGGUGCGUAGGUGGAUAAAUAAGAUAGGUGUGAAAGCCCUGGGCUUAACCUGGGAACUGCGCUUAUGACUGUAUAUCUAGAGUACUGUAGAGGAAGGUGGAAUUUCCGGUGUAGCGGUGAAAUGCGUAGAUAUCGGAAGGAACAUCAGUGGCGAAGGCGACUUUCUGGACAGAUACUGACACUGAGGCACGAAAGCGUGGGGAGCAAACAGG
rnacentral:rRNA from 1 species